rnacentral:rRNA from 1 species
UACGGAGGGUGCAAGCAUUAAUCGGAUUUAUUGGGCGUAAAGGGCGCGUAGGCGGAAAUGUAAGUCAGAUGUGAAAUCCCGGGGCUCAACCCCGGAACAGCAUUUGAAACUGCGUUUCUCGAGGGUAGACGGAGAAAACAGAAUUCCACAAGUAGCGGUGAAAUGCGUAGAUAUGUGGAAGAAUACCGGUGGCGAAGGCGGUUUUCUAGUUUAUACCUGACGCUGAGGCGCGAAAGCAAGGGGAUCAAACAGG